CGUCCAUGAUAUGGACAUUGUCUGAGCAUGUUGUUGAAUCUAUCACAUGCUUCAAAUAAUGAUUCAGAGGCUGAUUGUCUGAAGCUUGCUAUCAAAUUCCUUAUAUG